AAUGAACGCUGGCGGCAGGCCUAACACAUGCAAGUCGAGCGAAGUCUUCGGACUUAGCGGCGGACGGGUGAGUAACGCGUGGGAACAUGCCCUUUGGUGCGGAAUAGCCCCGGGAAACUGGGAGUAAUACCGCAUGUGCCCUUCGGGGGAAAGAUUUAUCGCCAAAGGAUUGGCCCGCGUUGGAUUAGGUAGUUGGUGGGGUGAUGGCCUACCAAGCCGACGAUCCAUAGCUGGUUUGAGAGGAUGAUCAGCCACACUGGGACUGAGACACGGCCCAGACUCCUACGGGAGGCAGCAGUGGGGAAUCUUAGACAAUGGGCGCAAGCCUGAUCGAGCCAUGCCGCGUGAUCGAUGAAGGCCUUAGGGUUGUAAAGAUCUUUCAGUGGGGAAGAUAAUGACGGUACCCACAGAAGAAGCCCCGGCUAACUCCGUG
rnacentral:rRNA from 1 species